CCUACGGGUGGCUGCAGUGAGGAAUAUUGGUCAAUGGACGAGAGUCUGAACCAGCCAAGUCGCGUGAAGGAUGACUGCCCUAUGGGUUGUAAACCUCUUUUAUAUGGGAAUAAUAUGUUCUACGUGUGGGAUUUUGUAUGUACCAUAUGAAUAAGGAUCGGCUAACUCCGUGCCAGCAGCCGCGGUAAUACGGAGGAUGCGAGCGUUAUCCGGAUUUAUUGGGUUUAAAGGGAGCGUAGGUGGAUUGUUAAGUCAGUUGUGAAAGUUUGCGGCUCAACCGUAAAAUUGCAGUUGAAACUGGCAGUCUUGAGUACAGUAGAGGUAGGCGGAAUACGUGGUGUAGCGGUGAAAUGCUUAGAUAUCACGAAGAACUCCGAUAGCGAAGGCAGCUCACUGGACUGCAACUGACGCUGAGGCACGAGAGUGUGGGUAGCAAACAGGAUUAGAUACCCGAGUAGUC
rnacentral:rRNA from 1 species